rnacentral:lncRNA from 1 species
CUCUCUUGGCUCCUGCCACACCAUCUAUCUUCUCAUAUCUUCCCGUGCAAACGCUAUGUUGUUACUCUAUAACUCCUAGGCAUGCGGGGCAUCGGGAUGGUUACAACAACAUCUGAAAAGCAUCGUGGGCACAUUGCGAAGACCAGACCUUUGUUCAUAGUUUGGUCUCGAUCAAUACACCAAUGGAAGGUGCUUUCUAGGCCUGCAUGAGAUGGAGCGUGCGAGGAUUGCUCCGUCACAUUUCCUGGCGUCGACGCGCCAUCCUUGCCAGUUGAGCUUCAGCAGUAGCUCAAACUCACAAUCCUUCUUUGAGAGUGUAUUUUUGCACCUUAAUUGUUGUCUAGUUCAACUCAAUGAUGAUGCACAUGGGCAACUUGUGGGAAAUCGCGCUUGGGAUACCUUGUCAUGGGUAUACCAGCAUGGUGGAGUUCCAUUCCCAUGACAUCGCUUCUUCAAAAACCUAGUCAUGUGUCACAAUCACCUUAAUGUUUAAGGUGUUGCACACACGGUAUACCUUCCUGUAGAAGUUAAUCAUGUUGUUUCUUUAGGAUUAGGAAAGAAAGCCAAACCGAGUCCUAGUAGUAUUAGGAUUCCUAGUCCUAGUCUAUUUUCAUAGUCCCUUGUGGACGUGUAUAAAAGACACCCUAGGGGUGUUCAUUGUAACACCAGAAAAACGAAAAGCAAUACAAAGCAAAGGCUCGACACGGGCCUUUAGCCAUCAAAUCCAUCGAUCAGUUUUAUUCGUGUCGCUAGUUACGCAAGUUCCGUCAAGUAGCCGGCCGAAGCAAGAAUCGCGUAGGCACGCCUGUACAGCUGCAUACGCACGUUCAAAAGCC